rnacentral:tRNA from 1 species
ACCUCAUUAGCUCAGGGAUAGAGCAGUAGUCUCGUAAACUGAAGGACGUGAGUUCGAAUCUCUUAUGAGGCU